rnacentral:lncRNA from 1 species
CCCCUCCAUACUUAGCAGAACCCUUCAUUGGUGGAAGGACUUUUGAAAUGAGAUCAGCUACAGGGAUGAAACCACUACCAGCUGCAUCAGGAGCAGCAGGUAAUCCCAAGAAAAUCUUGUUAGCUGGGAUAUCCGAAGUCCAUUGCUUCCAUGCAUCUUCAAGAUUGGUAAUAUUUCCAGAGGAGUAUUGGCAGGGAGGGUUGUUGUAGAAUUGGACCCAAACAUAGUCAAAAAGACCUGUCUUAAGGGCAUUCCCUACCCAUGCAUCAGGAAAUGGGCACUGGGGAGCUGCAGUUAAGUAUACUUUUUUACCUUUCUUGCCAUAUGCUGAAAGGAACCUUGCAAGAUCGUCCCAGUGUUGGUUUGUUCCUCCUUCAAUGUCAAAAUCAAUCCCAUCUAGAACAGCUGGUCCAAGUGGUCGAGACGACGAAUGACCCCCCAAGAAGUUAUUCCAAAGGUAAGUGGCAACCUGUCUAGCAUCCUCAGUGGAUGCAAGAUAAUAACUCCCAGCUCCUCCUCCAAUAGAAAGCAUCACCUUGAUACCUUUGGCUUGACAUGAUUUGAUGUCAGAGCUUAAGCCUGUACAGCCAUUGCUGUAUGGAUCACAAUGGCCAGCGAGGUUAAGCAUAGGAGUCUGACCGUUGCCAAAAGUGGGCAAGAAAGCUAAGUUUACAAAUUGAUAGUUUCCUGUGGCACAAGUCUCAGCCAAGGUCCCUUCAUUUCCGUUCUGACCCCAAUAGAUUGCUAUUCCACCAGCAUCAGAACCCAAAAGUAGUGUUAAAAUCACCGACAAGAAGAAUAGUACUAAGAUUGAUGAACUUGAUGCCAUUCUUAAAGAGAACUAGAAAUAUUUUGAAGCACUAGCUAGUAUAUACUUCUCAGGAUUUUCUGCUUUGGCACUACAACGCUCAAAAGAAUUUCCUUUUAUAGGUAAAAAUGAUCCCAUUCUGAUUGAUACGAUCUUGGUAUUUGUUCAAUUGCGUGCCUCAGCAGUUGCUUCAUUACGCCUGAGAUGGACGAACAGAUGACAACUAAUUUACUGAUACAACAAGUUUUCAUUCACAUCUUCAAAUCUAUUCCUGAUGACCACUUUCCACACCUUGAGUUGUUGUCUGCUCUCUACUGUUUUUGUAUAUUUUCUUUGCAUAGUUUUCUGAAAUUGUCUGUACUUGUUUGCUAUUAAUAGAAAAAGACAAACAUUACAUGUACAAAAGCUUAAUCAUGUUCUGAGCAUCUUGGGUUGUUGUCAUGUAUUUGUCCACUUUUACUUUUAUCUGUCUCUGCGUUUUCACAAUCAGUUGAAUAAUGACAAACGAUAAAAUGCGCUAAUGGAUUCAGCAGCUGACAAGGAAAGUUGAAAUUCUGAUCAGGUUGAGUUCAAGUUUGUCCCACUUCCACAAGUAUUUGUCCCCAAAUCAACAGAAACAUAACACAGUAGUCUUCAUUCAUGUGAUUGUAAAUCCAGAUUCUAUUAAUCGUCUCGGUCAAAUGGCACAAGAAGUUUAUAUGGAUCACAACAGUUGUUCAGGGCAUUUCUUUUAAGAAUGUCCAAAAUUAGCAAGUGAUAAUGCUUUAUCAGAGCAGGAUGAACGCUAAAUUUGCAGCCAUCUAGUUCAUUAGACUUAAUGAACUGUGUCCCUUCUUUAAAUUCAAGAAUUAUAUAAGAAUUUAAUUAAAUUGAUUUUUUUUUGUUAAUUCUCAAAUAAAAGAGAAUUUUAAAAAAAUAGAAAUUAUAAAAAUAAAAAUUAUGAACAAUUUAGAUUGUUAAAAAAUAUAUUUUAUAACACAUAUUUUUCAUAGACAAUAUUUUAUAACUACAAGUUAUUUUUCUCGAAUGAGUAGCCUUAGAGUGUGUUCUAUAACAUUGCAGAAUUUUUGUUUUUAAUUUUUUUAUUCUUAUUAUUUAUCUUUUAAAAGCUAUUUUUAAAAAUUGACCGUCAUAAAAUAAAGUUAAUAACUUGUCAUAUAAAAAAUAUGUAAUAAAAUAUUUUAGUAAUAAAAUAAGGAUAAAUAAUUUUAUAAAUAGUUACAUAUAAAAAUGAAUAAAUUAUUUUUAUAAAAUAUAUAAUAUUAUAAUAAUAAAUGAUAUUAUUAUUUAGUCUUAUAAUAUAAGAAAAAGUUUUGAAAAAUACAAGUUGUAAAAGUCUCUUAGCUAAUUUUAACAAUUAAAUGUUAUAAAAAUUUAUAAAAAAUAAUAUUUAUAGUUUAUGUUUUUGAUAGUAAAAGUAAAAUCGAUCAACGAACAAAAUUUUUAUUUUUUUUUUAUCAAAUAAAAAUAACAAACAGAAAACCACGCCACGAAACCAAACGCCUCCUGUUAGUUUUUAUUUUGAAAUAAUUAUUAUCCUAUCCUGUAGUUUAUCUAAGUACUUCAAAUAUUUUUAUAGUUUUAAAAUUAUAUUAAAAUAUUUUUAUAUUUUGAUUCUAUUAAUUAAAAAGAACAUCAACUGGUUAAAAUUUUUCUAAAUAAUUAAAAUGCUUUUAUAAUUUUUAUAUUAUAUUAAAAUAUUUUUAUAUUUUUAUUAUAUUAACUAAAAAUGACAUUUAUUAAUUUUUAUUAUCAAUUUUUAUUGUUAGUUUAUUAGUUAAAUUUGAAAAAAGUUUUUUAUAUUCAUAUUUUCCUCUUAACAAAUAAAAUUCACAAUCUACAUCUCUUUUUGAACUCUCCAUAUUCUUUCUUAUUAUGAUAUUUUGCAUCUCUAUAUUUUUUCUAAAAAAAUAGAGAUUUAUAAUUAAUAAUAGAAUAUUGACGAUAAUAUAAUAUUAUCAAUCAAUAAAAUUUAAUAUUCCUUCUUUAUUAAUUAUAUUUGUAGACAAUACGAUCAAUCAUGAGCUUACUGAUAAAAUUGGUGAAUAGUAAGUUUUAUUUAAUAUAUGAUGUUAAUUUGGACAUAUAAUUAUUAUUUUUAAUUUUGAUCAAUAAAUUAAAACAAAAAUAAUAGAAACUAACGAAUAUUUUUUUAGUUAAUAAGAUAAAAAUAUAAAAAUAUUUUAAUAUAAUUUUAAAAUUAAAAAAUAUUUUAAUUAGUUAAGACAAAUUAUAAGAGCAUAAUAUUAAAAUUUUUUUAACUUUAACUAAUAGACUAAUGGUAAAAUGAAAAAAAAUGUAAUGAAUAUAAUUUUUAGUUAUAGAAUCAAAGUAUAAGAGUAUUUUAAUAUAAUUCUAAAAUUAUAAGAAUAUUUUAAUUAAUUAGAAUAAACUAUAGAGGUAUGAUAGUAAUUUUUUUUUAUUUUUUUUAUUCGACGAAAUGAUUGAAUGCGCUAAAUAUCACAGUUUAGGCUAAAAGUUGGAGUGUAAAUGAAUAAAACUUUUCGUAACCUAUUCAAAGUUCGGUUCAAUAAAAGCUCCACCGAAUUAGACUCGAUUUUUAAACGAGUUAAGUUCGAGCAUAAUUUUAAAACUCAUUUAAUAAACAAUCUAAACUUGAGUUAUAUAAUAUUUAGCUCGUUAACGCUUGUGAGCACAUCUCAUUUCCGAGUUUAUGAACAAACUCGUAAAGAGACUUGUGAACAGUUUCGUGCAGGCUGAGACUAAUAUUAUAAGAGAAAUAAACUCAAAUUUUGUAUAUAUUUUCAUGAACUAAAUCUAAAUAUUUUAAAACUCUAUAUAAUUUAAUUAUAUUAUUAAGAUUUGCAUGUAUUUGGAUAGUUAAAAUUUAAGAGUUCAUUUUUAUAAAUUUACAAACUAAUUUAUAUAUGUAAUUAUUUAGCUAAAAUAAUUUAUUUUUAAAAUUAUUAAUUUUAAAUUAAAACUCAUUAUAUUAAUAAAUUGAAUUACUUAUUAACUAUUAUAGACUAAACACAAUAAAAAUUUGACUCGUUUAAAUUCAUUUGUUAAAUAAAUUAAAUUUAAAUUUAUUAAUAUUCAAUUUAAGUUCGAAUUGAAUAAAAUUUAAAUUUAACUGAAAAAUAAAAAAAAAACAAACUAAAUUUAAACUUUCCAAAUCUCGGCUAGGUUAUUUUUACACUCAAUCUUUUAUUUCUUUAAAGAAUCGGUUGCGAUCCCAUCAUCACUCAAUUAUUAAAUGUAAAAGUCAGGAAUAUUUUAAUUUAGUUUUAAAAAUCAUCACUCAAUUAACAAAACGUGUAGGAAAUAUGUUAAUUUAUUUUUAAAAAUAUAAAAAUCUACAAUAAUAUCUAAAAAUUAAAUUAUAAAUUUCUCUAAAAAUUUAAUAGGAUACAAGUUAAAUUCCAUUGAAAUUUAACCCUUAAUCUUCUGCUUCCUCCGAUUUUCAUACUGGGCCGGGUUUGAAAACUAUACUUGACGCUGAAUUUGGCAGGUUGCGUACAAUUUUUGGGUUUUAAUUAAAUAAAAGACUUGCCUGGAAUUUUUUUCCUUUUUUUUAAAAAAAAAAUUGAAAGAAUUCAUAUUUCUUUUGAUUCAACCUUAAUUUUCCAUCGAUACUUAGACUAGAACUAAAUUGAAAUUGUAUAAUCAAAUCAAACUUAACUAGAGAUUAAUUUUUAUAUAUAUAAAAUUAAUUAAUAGACUUUUUUUAAAAUUAAUGAUCAAUUAAUAAAAAUUAAAUAAUAAAAUAUUUAUCGAUUAAAAUUAAUAAAUUUUUAAAAUAUAAAAAAUGUUCUAACAUAUUUUUCUCUUUUGAAAUCAAUUUUCUAUAAUAUAUAUAGAUUAAAUAAUAAAUUUUGUUAAUAAAAAUAUAUCCUUAAAAUUAUCUUAAAUUAAUGAUAUAUCAUUAUCUUCAUCGUCUUGCAAUUACCCAAGACCUAAUUAUCCACCAUCAUCCUCCAUUAAUUAUUAUUCUUCAGCCCUAUAUAAGGGUUAUAAGGACACUUCAAAAUCAUCUUCUUCUUCUUCUUCUAUCUCAGCUAAACGCUCUCUCAAAAGCCUUAAAGAAGCCUCCCUACCAGACAAUCCAAAUAUUUAUGACUUUGCUGAAAUCUGCAGAGCUACCAACAACUUCCUUUCAGAACCCUUCUCUUCCUCUCCCUCUUGCACCUCUUGGCGCUGCCAGAUUCGCCAGAAAGAUGUUAUUCUUUUCCAGCGCAAGUUCCGGCGCGUUGACCCCAUUAGAUUAUCGGAGCUCCAGCAGCUGUUAUCCACUAUCUGCAUGAGUCACCAUAAUAGCUUGAUUAAGCUUCUGGGUGUUGCCACUUCAGGGAAUUGUAUAUUUCUUGUUUACGAAUACGUUCAUGGAGCCAGUUUAGCUACUUGUCUUAGAAACCCACAGAAUCCCAGUUACACAGUACUGUCAAAUUGGCUCUCGAGGAUGCAUAUGUAAUAGUUUUUAAAUAUGGCAUGUCAGCAGCUCACGUCAAAUAUGGCAAUGCCAUUAACAUGCUAUAUUAGAGGUGGCGAUAACAUCAGCAUAUGUAAUGAUAUCAGUCACUAUAUCCUCAGAAUGGUAAUGAUGCAAAAGUUCAAACUCUAAUAUAAAAUGAGAGUUACUUUAGUGUCUAAAGGGGAAAAAUGUGAAAAUACAAGUAAUUAAAAUUUUUUUUUUUUCCUUUAUUUUUCCUAUUUCAAAAAUCUAAUAAAAUUUAAAAGGAAUUGUAUAAUUAAUUUAGAGAAAGUAUAUCUAUAUAAAUAAGCAAGUAUAAUGAUUUUUAAAUAACCGCAGUUACGGAAAAGAUAUAUAUAUAGUUAGGAUAAUAAAUCCUAAACUGAGAUUUAUGCUAUCUUCUAGUAAAAUCAACAAAAAUUUCAAGGUAAGAUACAAUUUCUGAAAUGAUAAGAGACAAGAGAACUAAUGUUUGAUUAGUGAAUUUCAGUCACCAAAUAGGUAUAAAGUAAGUAUAUAUCUAAAGUAAAAAAUUAUUUUUAAAUAAAAAAUUUAUUUAAAUUCGGUACACCUUAUCAAUAGGUUGCUCUGUUCACUUUAUUUUUCUUUGGCAUACCGAAGGAUAGAUGUUGCAUAUCAUCUCAUUUGUGAUUGGUCCAGCUUAAACACGAUAUCUAUUUAUUGUCCUUUAUGCGUUUUUAUAUUCCAAGACUUUCUUUCUUUUUUUUUUUUUUUUCUAAGUCUGAAUUUACAAUGGGUAUGAAUUCUGCCCAAGAACAACAAUGAGAUAAAGAAGAUGAAACAAUAUAUUAGACAUAAUAUAAAUACAUUGAGAGUAACAAUAGAAAAGCAAAGAAAGAUCGAUCAUAAACAAAUAUUACACACAAUUCUGGACUUAUUUACGUAGGACUUCCAUAGAGAUACAUCUGCAUACAAACAGUAAAGCUUAGAUAGAGCCUUUGAUGGCCUUGCUGUAACCGGUUUGAUCGUCGUAAUACUUGGACCACAGCAUAACCCCUCCAUACUUAGCAGAACCCUUCAUUGGUGGAAGGACUUUUGAAGUGAGAUAAGCUACAGGGAUGAAACCACUACCAGCUGCAUCAGGAGCAGCAGGUAAUCCCAAGAAAAUCUUGUUAGCUGGGAUAUCCGAAGUCCAUUGCUUCCAUGCAUCUUCAAGAUUGGUAAUAUUUCCAGGGGAGUAUUGGCAGGGAGGGUUGUUGUAGAAUUGGACCCAAACAUAGUCAAAAAGACGUGUCUUAAGGGCAUUCCCUAUCCAUGCAUCAGGAAAUGGGCACUGGGGAGCUGCAGUCAAGUAUACUUUUUUUCCUUUCUUGCCGUAUGCUGAAAGGAACCUUGCAAGAUCGUCCCAGUGUUGGUUUGUUCCUCCUUCAAUGUCAAAAUCAAUCCCAUCUAGAACAGCUGGUCCAAGUGGUCGAGACGACGAAUGACCCCCCAAGAAGUUAUUCCAAAGGUAAGUGGCAACCUGUCUAGCAUCCUCAGUAGAUGCAAGAUAAUAACUCCCAGCUCCUCCUCCAAUAGAAAGCAUCACCUUGAUGUCUUUGGCUUGACAUGAUUUGAUGUCAGAGCUUAAGCCUGUACAGCCAUUGCUGUAUGGAUCACAAUGGCCAGCGAGGUUAAGCAUAGGAGUCUGACCGUUGCCAAAAGUGGGCAAGAAAGCUAAGUUUACAAAUUGAUAGUUUCCUGUGGCACAAGUCUCAGCCAAGGUCCCUUCAUUUCCAUUCUGACCCCAAUAGAUUGCUAUUCCACCAGCAUCAGAACCCAAAAGCAGUGUUAAAAUCACUGACAAGAAGAAUAGUACUAAGCUUGAUGAACUUGAUGCCAUUCUUACAGAGAAGUAGAAAUAUUUUGAAGCACUAGCUAGUAUAUGCUUCUCAGGAUUUUCUGCUUUGGCACUACAACGCUCAAAAGGAUUUCCUUUUAUAGGCAAAAAUGAUCACAUUCUGAUUGAUACGAUCUUGGUCUUUGUUGAAUUGCGUGCCUCAGCAGUUGCUUCAUUACGCCUGAUAUGGAC